rnacentral:rRNA from 1 species
CCAGCAGCCGCGGUAAUACGUAGGGGGGGAGCGUUGUCCGGAAUUAUUGGGNGUAAAGGGNGNGUAGGCGGCCNUUUAAGUCAGAUGUGAAAGACCNCGGCUUAACCCNGGGAUUGCAUUUGAAACUGGCGGGCUUGAGUGUGGGAGAGGGAAGUGGAAUUCCCAGUGUAGCGGUGAAAUGCGUAGAUAUUGGGAGGAACACCAGUGGCGAAGGCGGCUUUCUGGACGGUAANUGACGGUGAGGCACGAAAGACAGGGGAGCGAACAGGAUUAGAUACCCUGGUAGUCNUGCCGUAAACGAUGGAUGAUAGGUGUGGNGGUAUNNNCACCUUCAGUGCCGCAGUAACGCA